rnacentral:rRNA from 1 species
UACGUAGGGUGCAAGCGUUGUCCGGAAUUAUUGGGCGUAAAGAGCUCGUAGGCGGUUUGUCGCGUCUGCUGUGAAAACUCGGGGCUUAACCCCGGGCCUGCAGUGGGUACGGGCAGACUAGAGUGCGGUAGGGGAGACUGGAAUUCCUGGUGUAGCGGUGAAAUGCGCAGAUAUCAGGAGGAACACCAAUAGCGAAGGCAGCUCGCUGGGACGGUACUGACGCUAAGGCGCGAAAGCGUGGGGAGCGAACAGG